rnacentral:lncRNA from 1 species
CAUAGUUUCACUAGUUUAUUUAGUUCAAUACCAACCUCUUUCCUACUAGCAUCAAUGUACUUCAAUACUCUGCAGUCAGCAAAUAAUUUGAUAGACAUUAAGGCCGAGAAAAAAAGACAACAAACUGAAGAAACAAUAAGUACAAGGAACUUACAUUGGUAAGAACUGCACAUAAUUCCUUUCUAGUUUUCAGCAUCCCUUACAAGAAAAAAGAAAUAAAAACGAGAAAAGAAAUAAAAAAGAAACAAGCUUUGAAUGUUAAUGGAGAGAAUUCGUCCCUGCAAAGCGAGUGGGAUGAAAAAGAAAAGCAAAAAUGAAUGAGAAAACAAAAAGAAAGAGAGUGUAACCCUAAAAAAAACCAAUGACACACUUUGUACCCUAAGGUUAACCUCGCGCCACCCUCAGAUUCUCUCUCCCUCACGUCCCUAGUGUUUGCAUUUUCGAAGCAGAAGAAGUAAAACAAAGAGAAAAGAAGAUGAGAAAGGGUGAACUCUCGGCUGGUGGUAGAGAACAAGAAUGGAAUAAGAGUUUCUCACUUCUCGUGACUCCUUUUUGGGUUUCUCGGCCUAACCUAACAGUGACCAAAAAAAAUAAAAAUAAAAGAAAGCAAAGAAAGAUUGAUGAAAACUUGGUUGUUUGUUGUUAAUUGUUGUUAUUUGUUGCAAUUUUUCAUAUAUGAAAGAAGAAAAACAAGAAAGAAAGAACAAUGGAAAAGCCUCUUUGCAGUUAGAGAUUAGAGAGAGAAUGCAAAGAGGUGUGAGAAUAACCGGGGGUUUUUUAACCCCGUAGGCAAAUUUGCCUAUAAUAUUACGAAAAUAGGCAAAAAGUGAAGUCGUGCCACCCCUGCACGAUUUUAAAUAAAGAAGUCGUGCCACCCCU